rnacentral:lncRNA from 1 species
CCACAUGGUGUUCCUUGGCAUCCUCGCUAGCACAGAGCUUGCAGCAGCUCUAGCUUUGCUUGUCUCUGCACACAGUGAGAAAAACGCCUGCAUGGAAUGAGCCAACACACGAAUGUCCUGCCACCUGGCCGGAGGCUGCCUGCAAGGCACUGCUAGAGAGAUGCCAGAGCUUCCACACUGUCCUACUGGCUUUUCCCAUCAGGCAGCUCAUCGCACGGAGGAAUCACGCUGGUUUGCCUGCUCUCGUCUGCUGUCCCCUGCAGUUUGGCAGAAGCAUCCUCUGAAGAGACCUAGCGAGAGAAAGAUCCAUCAGAAUUUGCUGUGGUACAGCCUGCCAUUUUUGACUCAGGCUUCAUGGCAGAAGACUAUUAAGACAGAAAAAUUGAUAAGGAUUCUCCUGACACUUCUGAAACAUGGAGGACAUGAGUGUGUGACAGGGGCAGUUCUUUAAUCUGCAAGCAACUUUCCUGAGAUACAGGGGCAGUGCAUCCUCAUGCACGCUAGAAAUGGAUUAAUAUCCUUGAGAUUCAUCUGCUGCACCUGCAGUGACCUUCUUCUGCUUUCACACAGGGCUAUGCCACUGGCACACAAGAAACAGUCUCAUCAUCACUGCAGUGUGUUCUUCUGGGUUUUGGGGAUUUUUGACUGUCUUAUAUGCUCCUUCUGCCACAGGUAGAACAGAGCUAAACUCUCAUCCUGGCUCCUGUCUGAAAAGCCCUGGGAAGUCUCGUAUUAUUCCUUGUUUCUCUGAUGAAGACCAAGAGAAUUUUCCCCUCUGGAGAUGGCAACAUUUCUUACAUGCAGAAAUUUGAGGAAGCUGCUGAUAACCCUCAACAUCCUCCAUACACCUUUCCUUCUUCUGAUCAUUCAGCUACCCAGAGUAUGGUGAAACAGAUCCAUAUUCCUUCUCAAUUCGACUGACUAGAAGUGUGAAUGGGAUACUCAUAAUUAUCAGAGCGGUGGAGCAGCACUGAAGUCAAUGAACACAGAAGUUGCAUUGCCCACUUCAGAAAGUAGCUAAUACCCUACUGCCAGGGAUUUUUCAGCAAUAUUCACAUUAGUUAAUUCAACCCAACAUCAUUAAGUCAUCUUGAAACAUCACUGUGAAAUGCUUUUUCCUUUUAAGAAAGUCCAAAUCCUUCCAGGGCCCAAAAGGAGAUGCACACAGAUCUCCCCCAGUAAGACAGCACAACCCAACUGCACAACCCAAAGUUUUCUGCAACAGUGCUUUCUGCACAUAUUUCUUUUAGUUUGUCCCAGCUCCGAAGAUGGGUCCCUACAUGGGCUGCUGCAGAAGCAACUCUUGAAGAAUUGUCUGCUGACUUUACUCUCAGGAAUGCAGCUCUGGAGUCAAUGCAUGAAUAUCAAUGUAUUUGCAGCAGGUUGAUGAGGUUAAGCAUCAGUGUACUUCCACACUGAAAGCACUUGGGAAAUUUCUGUCACUGGCUAUCAAAAAAAACAGAAGGAAAUGGAAUAAAACAAAGAGAAUUAUGUGGAUUCUUUAACUG